UACGGAGGGUGCAAGCGUUAUCCGGAUUCACUGGGUUUAAAGGGUGCGUAGGAGGGCAGGUAAGUCAGUGGUGAAAUCUCCAAGCUUAACUUGGAAACUGCCGUUGAUACUAUCUGUCUUGAAUAUUGUGGAGGUGAGCGGAAUAUGUCAUGUAGCGGUGAAAUGCUUAGAUAUGACAUAGAACACCAAUUGCGAAGGCAGCUCGCUACUCAAUUAUUGACUCUGAGGCACGAAAGCGUGGGGAUCAAACAGGAUUAGAAACCCCCGUAGUCC
rnacentral:rRNA from 1 species